AUGAAAACAGAAAAAUAGUCAAAUAAUACAAUACAAUAAAAAUUAUAAAAUUUAUUUUUCCCAUAGUAACAUCACUCUCAAAUGUUGUACAAAAAUGGGCUUUUGACAGCACUCGUUAUAAUCUCGAUCCAACACCGGUGUUUAUCAUGGAAAGGGAAGGAUUUUGUAUUAACCAUCGCAACAAUCCAAUUUAAUGAAUAUGCUAAUCGACAAGCUAAGUAAAAGGGAUCAUAAACGUUAUAAUCAGAGCUGCAAACCGGUUUUGAACCGAACCGUCUCUUUUUACUGGCCUUGAACCAAACCGCUUUUAUUUUAAAAUGCGAAAGCCGAACCGGAAGCGACUCAAGAAAAUGGUUCUGUUCGGUUCAAAAUUAAAAUCCCUAAUAAGCAUUUUUAAGGUAAAUAAUAAACGACGUGCCGAAAAAUGCAACCGAUGUCAUUUUCCAUUGUAAUUUCAAAUAAUCGCGUUUGUGUUCUCAGGAGGUUCGAAUACUUUUAAAGUUAUUAUAUCUUUAUAAAUAUUUUUGAAAUAAGCGUGAAUCAAGCUUUUAUUUUUUUAAAAUUAUUAUACAAGUGAGUAAAUACAUUGCGAGUUUAAAAUGAAA